UAAUUAUUUUAUUGGUAUACAUCAUGGCAACAUUGUAAGUUAUCUGUUGAAUAUUGAAUACUACUACACAGUAAUGCUAAGACAAAGUAAGAAUUGUUUAUCUUUUAAUCACCAACAUACUUCUCAGUUGCGAUUCACUCUUUUUAUCACCAGUGUGGUAUUACCGUGCUAAAGCAGUUGCAACUCGGCAGUUGAGCAGUCAAUAUUUAAAUUAAUAUAUAUUAAUAUUUUGCAUUCUUUAAGACAGUGUAACUAAAUCUACAUUGAGGUGAAUAAUUUUGGUGGAAAUUAAACUUAGUAAGUUAUCUGUAAAAUCUAACUAUGGAUUUCAUUUCCUAUGCAACCAAUUGCAUCCCGGUGGUCGGUCAUGUCAAGGGACUUGUCCAUUAUGCAGCUGGAGACACUAGGGGCGGGAACCAAGCUAUGUUCCAAGCCACCAGAACUACAGUAGUUGCAGGGGCUGGUACUGCUGGAGCUCUUGCUGGUCCAGUAGGAGCUGUAUAUUUUGGUACGGUUGCUCAGUUGGCCACAGACGGUCUUGGUAGUGCAAUGAUGGCUGAGCCUCAAGGAGUUGUCUGGGGUUGUUCGGAAAUCUCGAGACAGGUUGGAUAGACGUGAGAGAGAACAAAUGAAACAACAGGAGCAGCAGGCUGGAGAACAACAGGAAAAACAUGCCAGAGAAGAAACGGAAAAACAAGAACGACCUGCUGGAGAAUAAUAAUAUGUAGUAAUGAUAAUAGAGUAAUAAUAUGUAGUCAAUAAAAAUUAUUUUUGACAAUAUA